rnacentral:rRNA from 1 species
GGGUUGUGAGGUUAAGCGACUAAGCGUACACGGUGGAUGCCCUAGCAGUCAGAGGCGAUGAAGGACGUGCUAAUCUGCGAUAAGCGCCGGUAAGGUGAUAUGAACCGUUAUAACCGGCGAUUUCCGAAUGGGGAAACCCAGUGUGAUUCGUCACACUAUCAUUAACUGAAUCCAUAGGUUAAUGAGGCGAACCGGGGGAACUGAAACAUCUAAGUACCCCGAGGAAAAGAAAUCAACCGAGAUUCCCCCAGUAGCGGCGAGCGAACGGGGAGGAGCCCAGAGCCUGAAUCAGCAUGUGUGUUAGUGGAAGCGUCUGGAAAGGCGCGCGAUACAGGGUGACAGCCCCGUACACAAAAGCGCAUGUGCUGUGAGCUCGAUGAGUAGGGCGGGACACGUGGUAUCCUGUCUGAAUAUGGGGGGACCAUCCUCCAAGGCUAAAUACUCCUGACUGACCGAUAGUGAACCAGUACCGUGAGGGAAAGGCGAAAAGAACCCCGGCGAGGGGAGUGAAAAAGAACCUGAAACCGU